rnacentral:lncRNA from 1 species
CACAUAUAUACAUACACAUAUAUAUACAUACAUAUAUAUACACAUAAAUAUAUAUACAUACACAUAUAUAUAUAUAAUAGAAAUAUUAAAAUUACUAAGUCUCUCUAAGUAGUGUGGAGCGACUGACCUCCCUUGUUCGAAGGUUAUAUGGAUACAGUUUGUGUAUCAAAUAGCUAACUUAAGGCGAUGGCCUCAUGGAGCUAAUAAGCGGACAGCUUUUUUCUUAUUUUUAUAAGAAUGCCAUAUUAGUAUGGCGAUAACUAUAUAUAUAUAUAUAUAUAUAUAUAUUCUGGUAUCCAUAGUCUAUGACACUCACAGUUAAAGAUAAAAUGUUUAUAUCAUUAUUAUUAUUAUUAUUACUGUACAUUUAGUAUGUGUAGCAAUUUAUUCAUAAUGUGGGUGUGUAAUGUAUUACUGCAUUAUAUUCUGGUAUAGUGUUUUAUUUUAAGAUUUUACAUCUCCACUGACUUCUUAACUAUGUGAUGCUUUGUUGUUGGCACUUUAACCAUUUUACCGCUAUUCUUAACAAUAGAUUGUUAUAAAAUAACUGUUGCAAUAAAAAUAGCCUAAGCAAUAUUUUUAAACAAUGUAUGUUACCAAAUUAACAAACAAACCAAAAAAUCUCUUUAUUCUCUAAAAUUAAAACAUACUCAUAAAUAAAUAUAUAUGCAUGUAUAAAGAAAAUAUUUCUAAACAAAACAAAAGGAAAGAACUAUUGGAGAAAACCCAUGGUUUAAUCCAUAUUAGUGUGACUGACUGUGUGUGCAAUUUAGGUUUAAUUCUCUGUUGAAUUAUUCCACUUUGAAUAUUUGUCCUAUCAUUAAUUUUUAGGUGUACUCAAAAGCAUAGGGAAGAAUUUGCCCUAUGACAUUAUAUAAAAAUACAACCUAGUCUCUACCAGGUUGAAUUUAACAUACUAGAUAAAGACAAAAACCUAACCUCAACCAGCUUAGCUUACCUUCUGACAAACUACAUAAAGUAUGUAGUUUGUCAGAAGGCUUUUAUUGAGUUGACUUGCCUCUUGAGCACCCAACGUAAAGAAAUCUUUCAGUAAUGAUUUUAUAAACCAUUAAAUAUUGCAGGAUGAUUUAGGGUGGACAAGUUCCCAGUCCUAGAAUAAAACUAAUCAGUGAUGAUAGAAAUAUUACAAGAUAGAUGAAGAUACAUUUAAAAAUUAUUAAAUAUUUAAUUCUUAAACAGGAUCGGUAAUAAAGAUCCACAGAUGAAAGGGUUUUCAAAUGUAAUCACUAAUUGUUCUACAGUGUUAUCCUAAGUUAACUUGAUUACCUAUAGUUAUACGAAUAUAAUAAAUUAAGAAUGAGUGUACUGAAAAAUUCCUUUUGAAUGGUUUUGUUGUGGUAUCUUUGUUUCUGCCUCUUCUUACAUGAAGAUAUAUAUAAAAAUAAAAUCUUCCGUCAUAAAUAACAUGUGCGUAUGUCAGAAGAGGAGAAACAUGAAAAUAGUAACAUAAAUCAUGCUGACAAUUAGAAUUACACAGAAGAAUUAUAUUCAAAAAGCUGCCUUCAAAUAGGAAAAUAUGGUAGAUAUAGAAUUAUAGAGAGAGUAAUAAAAAUUCUGAUUAAAUGUUAGAAACUAAUACAAACUAUUUGUAACUGUUAAAUCAUGAUACUUGAUGAGACAGAUGUAGAGUGAGAGGAAUUUUGAGUAAUUUAGGGUACACAGAUAUUAUUUUAAUCUAAUAUGUUAAUAAGUAAGUUAUAGCUACAUGGAUCCUUGAAGCUAACAGUGAAGAACAGUUUCCUUCAACAUUAAAUUCAUAAAAGUUUGGAUAUGACAGUAAAAUUUUUGCGACUGGACUGCUAAGAGAUAUGAUGGAAUAUGAAUUCCUGAUCCAUGACCUGGAAGUUUUAUACCUUAUCAAAUUUAGUGUUCCACACCUUAAGAAGCAGAGUAAUUUGGGUAUUUUCUUAAAAUUGCUAAAAUCAAAAGUAUAUAAAAGAUGACAUAGUGCCUCCUCUUAUAGAGAAUCUAUAAUUUCAUUCUACGGUAAUUGGUCUUUUGUUUGGUUCCUCUCUUUGGAAAUGGUAUUAUGUGUUCACAUCAACAAAACAUGUGUUCACAUCCACAAAAUAAUGUGAUAACAUAUUUGUUUCUUUUACUUGUAGGAAGUACAAGCACAAAAUUAAGUCAGGUAUUGGAUAAGUUUAGUCAAAUGAUGAACUUUGUAUAUUGUUAUCUAUUUCAUCAAUUCAAGAUAGACUAAAGGUGAAGUCAACAUUGGUAGUUAUUAGGAGAAUCUGAACUCAGAACUGAGAGGGAUGAACUAGUUACUGCAUAGAAUUCAGUUUCAUGAGCUAGUCUGUUACUAUCUCCAAAACCUUUUAUUCAUUAGUCAAAACAUCAAGUGACAAGAUCAGCUCAGAAUAUUUUUCUCCUGACUGUUUCUUCGAAUAUAAUUCCAUUCACAUCUAGGAUGCUUUAUAGGAAUAUUAUAUUAACCUCAGUACUUAACUGGUGCUUUAAUUUAUAGAACCCAGAAGCCUGGAAGGCAAAGUUGACCUCAGAACAUAGAAGAUACUUCAGGUAUUUUGUCAGAGGUCUUAAUGAUUCUGCCAUAAACACCAAGGUAAUUAUAUCAUUUUAAGCUGCAUCUGUACAUCCUUUAGAUUGCACAGCUAUAGUUUAAACUCUAUUUUUCUUCAGGCUAAAACCAAGACAUCUUGCUGAUGAUGUACAAGUCAUUAGAAUGUCUGUAUGCAUAGUUACAAUAAACAUUUCAGUGCACCAUUUGUUAUGAAUUGUAGAGCCCCAUCUCUCUUAGUUUAUGCAUUCUUAUAUAAUCUUGACAAUUAAAUACCUUUCUGAUCUUUUCUGGUUGUUGGAUAUGAAUUCAAAAGCCAUAUUUUAAAAUCUCUGCCUAAAUUCAUCAAUCCUAAACAUGUGCAUAUGAUCUGGAAAUUAGUAAAUAAGGUUAUUGGAUUGUGGUCAUGCUGGGGCACCACCUUGUAGGUUAGAGUUGAUUACACCUUCCUUAGUACUUUUUUUAAUUUUAUUUUAUUUUCAGCCUUGAGAGACAGUAAAACUAAGCAGGGUUUGAACUCAGAAUAUAAUGGGAUAUAACUAAAUACACAAUGUAUCUUGUCUGAUACGCUAUCAAUUCUGUCAUCAACACUGUUUUCUUUUUAUUUUAUUUUAUCUUAAUGAAAAUUGAAAUUAUUUUCCUUAAGAAAUUUGGGAUGUGAACUGAUCAGUUUUAGUUUUUGAUAUUAAUGUUUGUUUGAGAGGAACUGACACCAACAGGAAUUGAUACUGAUGUGACUCUAAAGCCACCUGAAAAAUAGACAAAUCAACUUUUACUUUAACCACUCUCAGCAAGAUGAAUUAGCUACACAAUUUCAUAUCUUUGAUGAAAAUCCUCAUAUGUUUCUCUAAUGGUUUUAAGAACAAAUUAAUCAGUCAUAUCUAUACUCUAACUGUGAGAAAUAUUCUACACAAAACCAGAAUUAUGUCCUAAAUAUUAAUUCUUUCAUCUUUUUUUUUUCCUGAAAAUGUUUAUGUCUAUAUUAUAUCUACCAUAUAUGUAGUUCUGAUAUUUUUAACAGUAUGCAGAAACAAAAAUCCUUGUAAACUAUACAAUGAAUUAAAAAGGUUUCCAUUGAAGAAUCAUCAUCUUCAUGUACUCUACAAUCUAUGGAUAAAAAACAAAAUAAAAGUUAUUGUUGUUGUCAUAUUUUCAACAAUUACAUGUGCGUUUCUACUGUACCUCCAGGUGCACUUCUGGGUUUCUGAGGUAUGUACAACAUUGUCUUUUGAAGAUGAUUAAUUGUGCUACACCAGUUAGUUUUGUUUAGUCUGCUUUGUUGCAUUUGGUUUGUUGUUUCUGGUUUAAUUUUAACAUUUCAUUUUAUUGUGUAAAGUCUGUGGAUUAUUAAUUACUUUUGUCAGUAUUUAUAAUAAAGGUUACACAAAAAAAGCUAAAAAUAAACUGACUUCACUGUUGGCUAAUUCACAAUCAACAUCAAACAGAACGAUCAACUGUAAAAAACUAAAUCUAAGCCUAAUUCAUUGUGUGUGUGUGUGUAUGUGUGUAUAUAUAUGUAUGUAUUUAUAUAUGGAUGCUAGACCUCUUUCUUAGUGAUGUGGUAAUAUGUAACCCAAUACAACCUGUUGCUUGGUUCAGCCAGCAGUGACUAAACCUGCUACCCUAUCAAGCCUGCUUGGUAAGGAGGGUGGUUUUCGUUGGACACCCUGCAAGACAAUGAGUCAAAGGGUAGGUGAACUCAGUAGCACCAAUGGCCAUCCAACAGCUGAAUUUGAGAGACCCUUAGUCUUCAUGGAGACAUUUCUCUAGUAGAAGGGAAACAGUGAUGUAACACUUGCAACUUCAUUUGCAUCCAAUGAUGUAGACUAAUUCUUUUUGGGUAAAUAUAUGUUUUGAGAGUUGGACCAGCUCUAUGCAAAACCUUUCUUCAUUUCAAAAGGGUUCAAGCAUGAGCUUCACUUGAUAUUUAAAGAUCUGUAUUAUUUGUUACAUACUGUGGCUGGUCAUAACGGUAAAAGUCAAAACACUCACUGAAAAAUUCCAUGAUGGAAUAAAGGUGUCAACAUGAGCGGUAAGCUCUCUGAGCACCUACUGCCACAUUCAUGCUGCUCAUGUUUAAGAGAAAGGUCAAGAAGUCACACUGCUUGAAAUUGAAUUGCAGACAUCAUAUAUAUAUAUAUAUAUGUGCGUGUGCACACACACACACACACACACACCAAGAGAGCGAAAAAGAGAGAGACAGUAUGAGUGUAUGUGUGUACAUGUGUGAGCAAUUGCUGUUUAUAUAUUUUUAGGGAAUGGUUGGUAGUGUAAUCAAUGAAUAUAAAUAGAUAGAGAAAUUCAUAUUAAUCUGAUAGUCAAUAAUAAACAGAAGAAUAAAAGAAACCUAGAAAGCAAACGCUAAAACAUUUAACUUCCUAUAUGGAUAUUUGAAAUCAGACUGAUCUCUAUCUUAUGUUUUUAAUUGUUUAUUUUUAUUAAUUUGUCCACUUUUUGUAUGUUUUUUUAAAAAUAUUUCUUGUUUAAAAUGGGGAAGACAAGAAAAAGAGAAAUUUUUGAUGAAACAUGUUUGAAUUUCACCAAUGUCAUCUCAUUCCUGUCAGUUAUUGAUUCAAAUAUUUUUUUUUUUAUUAAACACAGAUCAUCUUCAAUAUAACAUUCAUAAAACAAAUAAUAGCUCAAAAUUUGAAACAAUUUUAUGUCGUGGUUAAAGAUGGAGCAAUUUCAUUGAAUUAAUUCCAUUGUAACCUUUUUGAAAAGAACUGUAAGCACAAUUUCAAGAGAUUCGUUGAAAUAAAACAUUUCUUUCAGUGUCCUGUUUUCCAUAUUACUUCUCAAUCAUUUCAAUUUCCUUUUUUCUUUUUCUAAAUCCAAAAAAUGGUUUAAAUGGAGAAAUCUUAAGUUUUCAGAGAUAUUAUUUGGAAAAAAAGAAAAAAAAAAAAAGGUUUCCAUUGAUUUCCUUUUUGCUUUGGUUUGAUUUUGAGUUUCUGGUUGGACAAGUUGCUCUCAGCUGAGAAAGCACUCACUGUGAUAUAAAUGUUUUCAUACAUAGUAUGAACUGGACUGAAUGACUAAAGUAAAUAUCUUUUCUUUGGUUUUUUUUUCCCCCUAUUAAUUUGAAAACUUCAAAUAAUCCACAAGCUUAAAAGAAAAGGAUUAAAAAAAUAUUUCUUUUUUUCUUCAUUUUUUUCUUUUUAUAUAUAUAUAUGGUUUGCAAACAGAAUUUCAUGACAAAAAUUCUGAAACUUACUAAAAUGUACAAAUUGUACAGUCAACAAAACAUUAUUUUUCUCUACCAAAGAAUAAAACCAAAUUAAAAAAAAAAUUAUAAUUAAAAAAA